GCCUCGAUACGUAUCGAUACACUCCAAAUUCUUCCUUGAAAAUCUUGAUUGUUACCGUACGUCCGCGUGGUUCAUUUAAUUUCGUUCGUCGAAGAUCAUUAAAUUCAUUGUAUCGAUUGCUUAAGUCGACAACUCCGUUUGAUUAUUAUUAAUUUUGGUUUACUGUAUAGUGCGUUUUAUGCCAUGUUCUAAUAUUGUGUUGCGUUUAUUAAAAUAUUUAAUGUAAAAUGUCUGACAAUUUUGUUUUAAAUAUUUUAAAUGAAUUGAAAGUUCCGGAUUUCCUUAUUGAAGAAUUCCAAAAACAAGGAAUCGACGAAGAAGCCUUCAAAGGUUUAACCGAUUAAUGGUACAUGAAUUGGUUCCGCUCAUAGGAUUCCGUAUCAAGAUAUUCAAAAAGAUUGAAGAGUUAAAAUCGUUUAACCCUAUAAAUUCUUCGUUUUUAAAAUUGGUGUUUUUAGGCACACUUGUUCGCGACCUACCUCUAUGCAAAUGGUGUAAAAUAUGAUCAAACGGAUACAAGCCGCAAGGUCUCGGAACUCGGAAGUCCUGCGGCGAUGACGCAGCAUUCGAACGCAAGGGAAAUAACAAAACUAAAAUCAUUGGUAAAUAUGGAAAAUCGCGUCAUCGAAAUGAUACUAUAUGGCAUUGCGCGUGACCACUAACAUUUAUAUUUGUCUAAUGACGUGCUCCGUAGACAGGCAGGUAUUCUUGCAGUAUAGUAUACGGUAGUAUAGGUAAGUAUAUGAUGCAGUAUAUAAUCUUUUCAGACGACUUUCCCGGGGACGCGCCAAACAUGGAUCGAUCCAGCAGUAGCAGCUAUACAUUCGAAAAUCCCAUUUAGGUAACGUCAAUGUAAUUAUAUUAUUCACCCGUAUAGAUACCCACGGGGUAUAGGUUUAGUCAUCAUCAAUAUAGUACCCAUUAUACCUACCAAUAGCCUAUAGGUCAGUAUUACUAUAGUUAUUAUUAUAGGCACCUAUUUGUAGACGCUUUGAAUUUUUAGCAUCGUUCUUACCCCUGCAGGCAGUAUAUACUACUUGUAUAAUUAAUAAUUAUUAUAUAAUACAUAUACCUAUAUCAAUAUUCAAUACACGUAUCAAUGUAUCAUUGAUAUUCGGGAGCUAUUUUAUGCAUAUUUUGUCAUUGUCCGUCUUCGCGCAAUUGCUCAAAUUUGCACCUAUCGUUACUUCGCACAUUUCGGAUUCUAUAAGAUAAUUGUAUGCAUUGGUUUUAAAAUUAAGCUUUUUUGUUGAGUGAGACCGUCAUCACUUUUUAGAGCAGUACAAGUGAUGCUUAAAUCUUCAACUAUUUGAGUGUGAUUACGGGAUUGGUAGCAGUGGAUGAUGGUUUUAAUUAUUAGUGUACUUUAUUUUGCAAUGGCGUAGCCAUGAGCUUGUUUUUUGGAUCCUCGGGGAGGCUGAGAUUUAACUAUAGGAUCACUAUUAUUCCAUAAUACGUUUGGUAUGCUGAUGCUGGGGUCGUGGCCUUAUAAUAUUUUACUUUUGCAGCAAUAUUCAUAAAAAAUUACAAUUUUAAUACGGAAGCUUACCGAUUGUACUUACAAUUACCUUUUCAUAUACCUACCAGUUGCGCCCGGUCUUUCAUCUGGGUCGAUAGACCAAUUGCGCUUGAUAAUUCAUUUUAUUCAAUAGU